rnacentral:lncRNA from 1 species
GCCUCAUCUCCCUCCCAGCUGCCAGGGAGGGACGGCUCCAUGGGCAGUGCCACGGGUGCCAGCUGCCCAGCCAGGAUGCAGGUGAGUAAGACAGCACCUCCUCCACCCUCCUAUGGUGGAACCAAGGCAGGCCUGAUUCUUUGCCAUUGUUUUCAAGGAAGCUAGCUGUAAUGAGCAACUUCCCAGUCUGUUUAAGAUAGAAAGCAGGUCGGGGUCUCCCCGCUCCCAGGCCGUCUCUCACUGUCUCUCUUCACCCUGGGCCAGCACCAACACUCCGUGCUGUGGACACCCUGAUGGUGAUAGGGGAGGGGCUGUGUGCUUCCAGCCCUGGGCCUGUCUUCUUCCUUCCCCAGAAGUGUCCUUUCCUCUCCCCCCUCAUGGCUCUUGGAUGUCAUCAACACCCCACUCAGUCAUUUUGCAGUCUUCUCACGGGCACGGAAAGGUGUGGCUGGCUUCCUUCACCUUUCUGAGGCUCACUGGAAACUUGGGGUGAUCCAUGCUACUUGCCCAGCCCCAACACCACCCCUUCUUGCUGUCAUCUCAGUGAGGCUUUUGGCAACACAGUUCCAGAAGGGACUGGAAAAUGCAAGUCUGCUCUGUUCUGGGACACCCAAACUAAAAAGGGACUUCACUCAUCCCUACCACCCCACCUCUGCCCAAGACACUCUCCCCAAUAACUGACUCUCUUGGCUCCCUCCUUUACCUCUUUUCUCUCUCUCUCUUUCUUUCCAGAACCUCCCAGUCGAACAGGAAAAUGGGGAGAGUUGGAAACAGCCUUGUUGACAUGGUCUCAUUCUCUUUCUCAAUUCUUCUGCUCUAUAGUUUUUGGACUUAGAAAUCAGUAAUUCACCUGGUCUGUGGGUUCUUCAGAGAUCCCUGAACACUGGGUGGUAUAAGCUGUCUGGGCAGUGGAAAAAAGGUCUUUGGGGUAUAAUGAGCAAAGCUGGCACUCAAUGGGCAUCAAAGGGAAGCACAUCAGUGAAGAUGGUGCGGAUCAUCCCACCACAUCAAAACCCUGGAACGCGAUAUCCGUUACCAGAAUUCAGGGCCAGGGCUUUCUUCCCCUGAACAGGAUGUCCUUCCGUUAGCCCCGGGAGAUCGUGGUGUCCUGCAGGACCAGCUGGACCCUGGAAGGCCGGUGGGCCCUGAUGUUCAUGCGGAAUUCUUUGAUGACAAAGUAGUAGCAGAAAACAUCCAGGCAGCAGUUGACGUUGGAGAAACACAUGGACAAUUGCAAGAAGAAGCUGAUGCUCUGCUUGGCUCUGCACUCUACGAUAAAGCUGUUUCUCACCAGGAACUGCAGGAAGAACCCCAGGUGGACUGGGAGGAAGGAGACCACGAAGACAGCCAGGCUGGCUGCGAUGCUGUAGAUGCAGGCUUUCUGCUGCACCCAGUCCUGGGUGUGGUCUCGGCGGCCCAGCAGGAUGUGGAUGCUCCUGGAGCAGCAGAAGCCCAUGAUGCCCAUGGGAAGGAGGAAGCCAAACACCUCCAGCGGGAAGAAGACCUUGGCGCUCCAGGUAUCAUCAGACAUGUUGUGGAAGCACAUGUAUUUUUCCACUUUCCCAUGGAAACUGUAGAUAGGGAUGCUUCCGGUCCACACCAGGACCCAGAUGGUGCAGCAGAUCCCAAAGAUCUUCCUGGGGGACCGGAGGUGGCUCACCAGUAGCGGGUAACGGAUGGCCAAGAACCGGUCCAUGCUGAUGAAGCAGAUGGUGAAGACGCUUCCGUACAUGCUGACGAAGUAAAGGCACUCCACCAGGGUGCACAGGGACGGGAAGGGGGACUGUACCUGGGACAGGACCAUCUUGAAUGGGAGGGAGAGCACCAGCAGCAGGUCAAAGACUGCCAGGUUGAUCAUGUAGAUGGAGGUGGCAGCAUAAUCGGGCCACCUGUUCUUAAGGAAGGUGCUGAAGCCAUGGAUGGCCAGCAGGUUGAGGAGCAGGCCCAGGACGAAGGUGGGGAUGUGGACUGCAAACUGUAGGGUUUUCAUCAGCUCGUUGACACCGUCAAACAGGCAGUCCCCACUGGUGUUUUGCUGACUCAUGUUUCUUCCUACAACACCAACAGAUCAGACGGGGCUCCUUUCACUCUCUUGAAGUGAUGGAUUCAAAUGACUUUGUCAAGAAUCACAAACACCUCCCCAGCAUCACACAGCAAUUCAUGCCCAUUGAAUCACAACUAGAACACAGAAAAGAAAAAUUACCUUUAAUCCUGCUGCCCAGAUGCAACCACUGUUACUUUUUGUGUAUAUCAUUCCAGACUCGCUUUCUCACUCUCUUUCUACCAUACACACAUUUUUCUUUGACAAAUAUAGAACCUGCUGUGCAUGGACAUCUGUCUUUUAAAUCAGAACUCCUUUUGUUGAAAGAAGUAACAGCACAUACCCAGACCCAAACAGGCUGAAGCAAAGAGACAGUUUCACAUAAUGGAAAACAUGAAAACUAGGGUA